rnacentral:rRNA from 1 species
ACGGAAGGCAGCAGUGGGGAAUAUUGGGCGAUGGGCGAAAGCCUGACCCAGCGACGCCGCGUGAGGGAAGAAGGUCUUCGGAUUGUAAACCUUAGUUAUCGGGGAAGAAGAAAGUGACGGUACCCGAAGAGAAAGCCACGGCUAACUACGUGCCAGCAGCCGCGGUAAUACGUAGGUGGCGAGCGUUAUCCGGAUUUACUGGGUGUAAAGGGUGUGUAGGCGGGGAUUCAAGUCAGAUGUGAAAACUAUGGGCUUAACUCAUAGCCUGCAUUUGAAACUGAAUUUCUUGAGUGUCGGAGAGGUAAAUGGAAUUCCCAGUGUAGCGGUAAAAUGCGUAGAUAUUGGGAGGAACACCAGUGGCGAAGGCGGUUUACUGGACGACAACUGACGCUGAGACACGAAAGCGUGGGGAGCAAACAGGAUUAGAUACCCUGGUA